GCAGGACCAAACAGGGUCACCUCCCUACCUCCUCCGGUAGCAGCCUCUGACGCAGGCCUGAAAUCUGGGGCAGGUGCAUGAGUUUACCUGGGGAGAGCCCUGACCUUCACUUUCUGCAUCCUGACAAAGAGAAAUUAUGCUUCAGUGACAAUCCCCGGUUGCCUACGCGAUGCAAACCGGUCAAGCGUUGAGAGCCCUGCAGUGGUUCUGCACCGAAGGGCAUAAAUCCUUUCGUCCCGAGUUGGCACCUCAUCGCUUGCUUCUCUUUCAGGGAUUUCCUCCAUUCUUGGAGAAGACACACCUUUCACACCAACCCUUUCAUCACCUAACUAUGGUAGAGACCUCCUUCCAAUCACAUACCUCACCCCCGUCAUGGAUUCUGAAGGGUACCAAUCAAUAAACCUCCUAAGUGUAAUGCCACACGUUGGAAAAUGUGUAGUAUUUGACAGAAGCCGAAAUGAGACCGGCUUGUUGCUCAGAUAAUUACAGGUAGUGUUUACCGGACUAAACCCAUUUGUGGGAAGGGUGAAUUUAAAUGUGUUUAAAGGAAAAAGUGUUUUAAACACUGUCAAGCACUUUAAACUGUCGCAUUGUUGGGGCGCCUGGAUGGCUCAGUCGUGGAGCAUCUGAGUCUUGACUUGGGCUCAGGUCAUGAUCCCAGAGUCGUGGUGUGGGAUUGGCCCUGUGCUGGGCUCCAACCUGAGCAUGGGGCCUGCUUGAGAUUCUCUCUCUCCCUCUCUGCUCGCCCUCUCCCCCUCCCACCUCAAAAAAAAUGUCAUAUUGCACCCAAACAAUUGAUUCCGGGCACACAUACCUCUUCUGUAGUCACAAAAUCAAGCUUUUGAGGAUUUCUGGCAGGCAAUGGUUGUUUUGCCUACUUCUUAUUUACAGCAACAAAACUAAAUAAAAAUCCUAUCGUUCACUCUU